UUCAUUUACAAAUACUUUAUAGGUCUUGAUAGGGAAAUAAAAAAAGUGAAAAAACACAUAGGUUACUACAGCUGAUGCAACUAAGACUUCAGUUCAUCUGAGGAAGUGUUUGUCCUCAUGGGUUUGUGCAGUGCCCAGAAGACAAGGAUCCUGAUCUUGAUUGAGAUCCCAGAAUCUGCAGUUGGAGAUCAGUCAGAGACAGCUUCCCAGUGAGAAGAAUCAUCUGCAUAUAGCUUCCUGAAGAAAGAG
rnacentral:lncRNA from 1 species